GAUGAACGCUGGCGGCGUGCCUAAUACAUGCAAGUCGAGCGAACAGACGAGGAGCUUGCUCCUCUGACGUUAGCGGCGGACGGGUGAGUAACACGUGGAUAACCUACCUAUAAGACUGGGAUAACUUCGGGAAACCGGAGCUAAUACCGGAUAAUAUAUUGAACCGCAUGGUUCAAUAGUGAAAGACGGUUUUGCUGUCACUUAUAGAUGGAUCCGCGCCGCAUUAGCUAGUUGGUAAGGUAACGGCUUACCAAGGCAACGAAGCGUAGCCGACCUGAGAGGGUGAUCGGCCACACUGGAACUGAGACACGGUCCAGACUCCUACGGGAGGCAGCAGUGGGGAAUCUUCCGCAAUGGGCGAAAGCCUGACGGAGCAACGCCGCGUGAGUGAUGAAGGUCUUCGGAUCGUAAAACUCUGUUAUUAGGGAAGAACAAAUGUGUAAGUAACUAUGCACGUCUUGACGGUACCUAAUCAGAAAGCCACGGCUAACUACGUG
rnacentral:rRNA from 1 species